rnacentral:lncRNA from 1 species
AUUUUAGGUGAAAAAAUAUGUUUUAAAUAGGUACGUAUCCAUAAACUUAAACUUAUAAAAAUAAAAUAAUCUAUUCGUACCGCGUAUGCACAAAAAGCUAGAAGGAUCUGCAAAUUCUGCAAUCGCCUUCUGCAUGUAGUCAGGUCGCCGGUCGGUUCGGUUCUAUUCCUUGGCGCGAUCGCGAGGCGGACCCUUAAAUAGGAACCGGUCGUAUAAUAAUUCUGACUAGAGGACCUGAUUCUGACCUAGAGGUGGGCUAGAAGUAUUUGCAAUCAUGUAACGGUAACCCAUCGUAAUUUUUACCUGUGAUUGUGAUUUAACAGAGCAACAAAAUAGUCGUAUUUUAAACUCCUAAUUAAAAAUGUU